ANNNUUGAGNGGUCGAGUCCGCAGGGCCGUUACGCGCUGGGCUACACACGUGCUACAAUGGCAACUACAGUGGGCAGCGACCCUGCGAGGGCGAGCUAAUCCCCAAAAGUUGUCUCAGUUCGGAUUGUUCUCUGCAACUCGAGAGCAUGAAGGCGGAAUCGCUAGUAAUCGCGGAUCAGCAUGCCGCGGUGAAUACGUUCCCAGGCCUUGUACACACCGCCCGUCACACCAUGGGAGUUGGAUUCACCCGAAGGCGUUGCGCCAACCUAGCAAUAGGAAGCAGGCGACCACGGUGGGUUCAGCGACUGGGGUGAAGUCGUAACAAGGUAGCCGUAGGGGAACCUGCGGUU
rnacentral:rRNA from 1 species